AUUGAACGCUGGCGGCAGGCCUAACACAUGCAAGUCGAGCGGAUGAAGGGAGCUUGCUCCUGGAUUCAGCGGCGGACGGGUGAGUAAUGCCUAGGAAUCUGCCUGGUAGUGGGGGAUAACGUCCGGAAACGGGCGCUAAUACCGCAUACGUCCCGAGGGAGAAAGUGGGGGAUCUUCGGACCUCACGCUAUCAGAUGAGCCUAGGUCGGAUUAGCUAGUUGGUGGGGUAAAGGCCUACCAAGGCGACGAUCCGUAACUGGUCUGAGAGGAUGAUCAGUCACACAGGAACUGAGACACGGUCCAGACUCCUACGGGAGGCAGCAGUGGGGAAUAUUGGACAAUGGGCGAAAGCCUGAUCCAGCCAUGCCGCGUGUGUGAAGAAGGUCUUCGGAUUGUAAAGCACUUUAAGUUGGGAGGAAGGGCAGUAAGUUAAUACCUUGCUGUUUUGACGUUACCAACAGAAUAAGCACCGGCUAACUUCGUG
rnacentral:rRNA from 1 species